UACGUAGGGACCAAGCGUUGUUCGGAUUUACUGGGCGUAAAGGGCGCGUAGGCGGCAUGACAAGUCACUUGUGAAAUCUCCGGGCUUAACUCGGAACGGUCAAGUGAUACUGUCGCGCUAGAGUGCGGAAGGGGCAAUCAGAAUUCUUGGUGUAGCGGUGAAAUGCGUAGAUAUCGGAAGGAACAUCAGUGGCGAAAGCGACUUCCUGGACCAAUACUGACGCUCAUGUGCGAAAGCGUGGGGAGCAAACAGG
rnacentral:rRNA from 1 species